rnacentral:lncRNA from 1 species
AGAACAUAAGAAAGUAAUUAAUAAAAAUAAAGACUCUAAAAGAAGAAAAUCAAUCUCUCAUUAAAGAUAAGAUAAAACUGUCUCAUAACUAUGAAACAUUAAGUAGGAAACUUGAAAAUGAAACCAAAAAUCUAAUUGCUGAAAAUGUCAAGCUAAAAGAAGAUGCUGAAAAAUAUAAGUCUUUGGUAGAUAGAUUUACUCUUAGUUCUACCAAAUUAAACUUGAUUCUUGAUAGCCAAAAAGCUGUAUAUGAUAAGGCCGGUUUAGAAGAUAUAGAACAAAUAGGAAACAAAAAUUAUUAAAGAAUAUUUUUGUAAAAGCUAAAAGUGAAAAUAUUACUUGUUAUUGUUGCAAUAAGUUAGGACAUAGAGCAUAUGAAUGUAACUUUAGAAAAUCUAAUCAAAACAAAUUAAGUAAUAAUCAAAAGAUUAAAUUCAAAAAAGUUUGGGUUCCAAAAGGAACAUGGAGCACUAACCCUAAAGGACCUUAGUUUGGGUACCUAAAGUUUCUUCUUGAUCUUGAUUGCAGGUGUGUCUUGCAGCUGAUAAAAUGGAAAAACGAUGGUAUCUAGAUAGCGGCUA